rnacentral:tRNA from 1 species
UGGCUCAGUUGGUAGAGCAUGGUGUUUGCAAUGCCAGCAUGGUGUGUGCAACGUGUGGGUUCGAUUCCCAC